UUAGAGUUUGAUCCUGGCUCAGGAUGAACGCCGGCGGUGUGCCUAAUACAUGCAAGUCGUACGCACUGGCCCAACUGAUUGAUGGUGCUUGCACCGGAUUGACGUUGGAUCACCAGUGAGUGGCGGACGGGUGAGUAACACGUAGGUAACCUGCCCCGGAGCGGGGGAUAACAUUUGGAAACAGAUGCUAAUACCGCAUAACAACAAAAGCCACAUGGCUUUUGUUUGAAAGAUGGCUUUGGCUAUCACUCUGGGAUGGACCUGCGGUGCAUUAGCUAGUUGGUAAGGUAACGGCUUACCAAGGCGAUGAUGCAUAGCCGAGUUGAGAGACUGAUCGGCCACAAUGGAACUGAGACACGGUCCAUACUCCUACGGGAGGCAGCAGUAGGGAAUCUUCCACAAUGGGCGCAAGCCUGAUGGAGCAACACCGCGUGAGUGAAGAAGGGUUUCGGCUCGUAAAGCUCUGUUGUUGGAGAAGAACGUGCGUGAGAGUAACUGUUCACGCAGUGACGGUAUCCAACCAGAAAGUCACGGCUAACUACGUGCCAGCAGCCGCGGUAAUACGUAGGUGGCAAGCGUUAUCCGGAUUUAUUGGGCGUAAAGCGAGCGCAGGCGGUUGCUUAGGUCUGAUGUGAAAGCCUUCGGCUUAACCGAAGAAGUGCAUCGGAAACCGGGCGACUUGAGUGCAGAAGAGGACAGUGGAACUCCAUGUGUAGCGGUGGAAUGCGUAGAUAUAUGGAAGAACACCAGUGGCGAAGGCGGCUGUCUGGUCUGCAACUGACGCUGAGGCUCGAAAGCAUGGGUAGCGAACAGGAUUAGAUACCCUGGUAGUCCAUGCCGUAAACGAUGAGUGCUAGGUGUUGGAGGGUUUCCGCCCUUCAGUGCCGGAGCUAACGCAUUAAGCACUCCGCCUGGGGAGUACGACCGCAAGGUUGAAACUCAAAGGAAUUGACGGGGGCCCGCACAAGCGGUGGAGCAUGUGGUUUAAUUCGAAGCUACGCGAAGAACCUUACCAGGUCUUGACAUCUUGCGCUAACCUUAGAGAUAAGGCGUUCCCUUCGGGGACGCAAUGACAGGUGGUGCAUGGUCGUCGUCAGCUCGUGUCGUGAGAUGUUGGGUUAAGUCCCGCAACGAGCGCAACCCUUGUUACUAGUUGCCAGCAUUAAGUUGGGCACUCUAGUGAGACUGCCGGUGACAAACCGGAGGAAGGUGGGGACGACGUCAGAUCAUCAUGCCCCUUAUGACCUGGGCUACACACGUGCUACAAUGGACGGUACAACGAGUCGCAAGCUCGCGAGAGUAAGCUAAUCUCUUAAAGCCGUUCUCAGUUCGGACUGUAGGCUGCAACUCGCCUACACGAAGUCGGAAUCGCUAGUAAUCGCGGAUCAGCAUGCCGCGGUGAAUACGUUCCCGGGCCUUGUACACACCGCCCGUCA
rnacentral:rRNA from 1 species